AAUCAUGGAGUCAUGUAGCGAACUAUUCUUUUGCCUUUUACUAAAGAAUACCAUGUGGUUGUCAUUCAAAGUGGCAUACGAUAAUUUUUUAAAAAAGUUUUCUUAAAUGAGAGCU